GACGAACGUUGGCGGCGUGCUUAACACAUGCAAGUCGAGCGGUAAGGCCCUUUCGGGGGUACACGAGCGGCGAACGGGUGAGUAACACGUGGGUGACCUGCCCUCAGCUCUGGGAUAAGCCCGGGAAACUGGGUCUAAUACCGGAUAUGACUUCAUGACGCAUGUUGUGGAGUGGAAAGCCUUGUGCGGCUGAGGAUGGGCCCGCGGCCUAUCAGCUUGUUGGUGGGGUGAUGGCCUACCAAGGCGACGACGGGUAGCCGGCCUGAGAGGGCGACCGGCCACACUGGGACUGAGAUACGGCCCAGACUCCUACGGGAGGCAGCAGUGGGGAAUCUUGCGCAAUGGGCGAAAGCCUGACGCAGCGACGCCGCGUGAGGGAUGACGGCCU
rnacentral:rRNA from 1 species